UGGGUAGUAAAUAAUGGUACAAAAUACAUGUUAAGGGGGGGAACUAAUCAUGAAAAAUGUCUAUCUACAUGUUGUUCCAGUGUGGGGGCUUAUAUGUGAUGUAAUUAUCGAAAUUGAAAUAUUAUGUAAUAUGUUUAACUGUGUGGGGUCCUAUGUAACAUUGAUAGCCUUGAACACAUGUGAGUAAUUGUAUUGUAUUGUU
rnacentral:lncRNA from 1 species